AUACUCUAGCAGGUGAUACUCAAUUUAGCUUAGAUCAAACAAAGUCUCAAGCAGCACUUAUAGCAAGAAAUACAUUGCAAGGCUCAAGGUUGUGUUGCUAGAGCUCUUCCCCUACACUGCUAAAUGAACUGUAAGGCAUCAGGAAGUAUUAUUUUGCUGAAGAGAAUUGAUCCCACAGUGUAUACUUACAAUGGCUGCAUUGUCUCACUGCUGCAAAUGCUGCUGACCUCUGAACAAGCCCAAAUGAUACAGAUGUCACAUCUGACAGCCAUGGUGAUGAAUGGUCUGGGUGUUGACAGCUGAAGAUGAGGGUCUCAGACAGAAGGAGAAACCUGUGAGACCGAUCAAGUCUCGUGAUGCUGACUUUGCAGUGGGAAUAGGCAAAAGAACAAAACACAGCUAAACACGUUUUCUGUGGCUUUCAAAU
rnacentral:lncRNA from 1 species